AUGAACAAUUACGAUAUUAAACUGAUACUACAUUCAAAUACGGCUGCAUUUCCAUGAACAUUCACAAACAGCGCACUCGUGAGGCAUUCAACUCUUGAAAAGUUAACGUUUCAUUUAAAUAACAGCUUAAAUUCAAAAGGUUACACACAAUAAUCUGUUUAUGUUUCUCAUUUAAACAAACCCCACAGGAGUUCGGUUAGCGGUUAAUGCUAAACAUAUGCUAAUUACGGCACAAUUACUUUUUGGCUGUAUAAAGCUUUAUUUUAUUUUAUUUUAUUUAGUAAUUUAGCAACACACCUGAGAGAAAUGUUGAUAUCCCGGUUGAGUUUUUCUCAUUUUCGCUGUCAUUCUACCUUCAUAUUCAAAUUAAAUACCUACGUUUCCACUUGCUCUCUAAAGAAAACGUUAGCCUCAGCUGUUAGCUAGUUGCUUGGCAUCCAUCUUGAUUUUCAGUUGCCUCGCAACAGUGUUCCCACACGUCCAGCGACAAAAACACACCUGGAUGUAAAACUAAUAAUAUUAACACUAUUACAUGAACUAAUAUAUAAUAUAAUAAUAAAUAAUCGUAAAUAUAAUGAAAAAUUAUAUGCAUCUGCCAUAACAUUAAAACCACCUGCCUAAUAUUGUGUAGGUCCCCCUCACCUUGUGACACCAAAAUAGUUCUGACUCAUCGAAGGAAUGGACUCCACAAGACCUCUGAAGGUGUGAAGGUAUCUGGCACCGAGACGUUACAGUGGAUCCUUUAAGUCCUGAAAGUUGUGAGCUGGGACCUCCAUGGAUCGGACUAGUUGGUCCAGAACAUCCCACAGAGACUCGAUCGGAUUGAGAUCUGGGGAAUUUGGAGGCCGAAUCAACACCUUGAACUGUUUGUCAGGUUCCUCAAACCGUUCCUGAACAGUUUUUGCAGUGUGUCAGGGAGCAUUAUCCUGCUGAGAGAGGCGACUGACGUUAGGGAAUACCGUUACCAUGAAGGGGUGUACUUGGUCUGGAACAGUGUUUAGGUAGGUGGGACGUGUCAAAGGAACAUCCACAUGGACGCCAGGACCCAAGGUUUCCCAGCAGAACAUUGCUCAGAGCAUCACACUCCCUCCGCCAGCUCGCCUUCUUCCCAUAGUGCAUCCUGGUGCCAUCUCUUCUCCAGCAGAUGAAUGUCCAGGCCUGAAAGUAGAGGCGUCAGCUCUUAAAUGAUGAUCAGAGCACAAAGCACAAAGCGCACGGAGAGGAGCUCAUCAAAUUUGCAUGGCAAAGAAGAAAGAAAAACACAUAAAUCACCCCUGAAGCUGGUGCGCAGAAACAACCGCCGGGAGCAGAGACACCUCAGUUGUGCUGUUAUGUUUUAAUGUUUAAUUUAACAUAUUUACAGAUUAUAAUCUUAUAUAUAUAUAUAUAUACACACACACACACACAUUAUACUUUUUUUACAUCAAGUUUUUUGCUUGAACAGAUACAUUGUUUUACGGAUAUAUUUUUUGUUUAUGCAUAUAAUCAGAAGUAUUUCUAAUUUUAAAUGAUUCAAAUGAUUUUAAAUUGUAAUACUUAUUUCUGAGCCAUUUAAAACUAAAUCGAUA
ensembl:lncRNA